rnacentral:rRNA from 1 species
UCUUUUCCUUUUUUUUCAGCAGCCGCGGUAAUACGGAGGAUCCGAGCGUUAUCCGGAUUUAUUGGGUUUAAAGGGAGCGUAGAUGGGUUGUUAAGUCAGUUGUGAAAGUUUGCGGCUCAACCGUAAAAUUGCAAUUGAUACUGGCAGUCUUGAGUACAGUUGAGGUAGGCGGAAUUCGUGGUGUAGCGGUGAAAUGCUUAGAUAUCACGAAGAACUCCGAUUGCGAAGGCAGCUUACUAACCUGUAACUGACAUUGAUGCUCGAAAGUGUGGGUAUCAAACAGG